rnacentral:rRNA from 1 species
UACAGAGGGUGCGAGCGUUAAUCGGAAUUACUGGGCGUAAAGGGCGCGUAGGCGGUUAUAUGAGUGUGAUGUGAAAGCCCCGGGCUUAACCUGGGAAGUGCAUCGCAAACGAUAUAACUGGAGUAUAGGAGAGGGUGGCGGAAUUUCCGGUGUAGCGGUGAAAUGCGUAGAGAUCGGAAGGAACGUCGAUGGCGAAGGCGGCGCUCUGGAACGUUUCUGACGCUGAGGCUCGAAAGCGUGGGGAGCAAACAGG